GAUUGGGUGUGUUCUUUUUGGUUGGGAGAUGGUGGUGUUGAUUUUGUAUGGCUGUGAAAGAAGAAGGGUAUACAAAUAUUGGUGGUGGUGGUGAUUUCCGCUCAAUUCAGACUGGUAAGCAUUAGCAACGUACCAUGCCUAUGUGAUGUUCUUUUUAAUUUCUGCUUAUCAGUUUGAAAUUCAACAGAAGACUACAAUGAUAUUGGUGGGCUAGAACUACAGAUGCAAUAACUUAAAGAAGCAAUUGCUUUGCUAAUUACUCACAGACAAGUUUGUGAAAAUAGGAAUCAAACCCAAAGGAGUUCUACCGGAAAGACAUCCUUGAACAGGCAACACGGUGAUGGCCCGUGCAUGUGUGGCAGAAACAAAUGCAACAUUUUUGAAGCUAGCAGGUCCUCAAUUGGUUCAGAUGUUCAUUGGUGAUAGAGCUAAAUUUGUCCGUGAUGCGUUUAAACUUGUGAAGGAGAAAGACCUUUCAUCAUCUUCAUCGAUGAGAUUGACACAAUUGGAUCUAAGCGAUUUGAUGGGUACAUGAUGUUUAUGUCUCAAUGAAAUGUGUUCCAGGUGUUUCAAUUUUGAGGUGAAAUCUCAUGGUUAAACUCGAUAAUUUAUAUGUUUAUACUUCUCAGUAACAUGCUUUUCUUCUCAUUCCUUUUCGAUUUUCGUUCUACUGCAAUGACACCAAUGGAGAUAGGAAUUAUAACGGACAAUGUUGGAACUGCUUAACCAACUUGAUGGUUUGAGCAUUAAUAUUCAGAUAGAGGUUUAGGAAAACUAUGUCACUAGGAUUGAUGCUCAUAGAUGGAACUUUGCUGAUAUAAAGAGCGUAUUAUUAGCUUUUAGACAAGUUAUGUACUAUGAUUGAUGCUUAAUGAAACCCAUUAUUUUAUCAAGCAAUGGAAUCCAUC